rnacentral:rRNA from 1 species
GACAGAGGGUGCAAACGUUGUUCGGAAUUACUGGGCGUAAAGCGAGUGUAGGCGGUUUCCUAAGUCGGAUGUGAAAGCCCCGGGCUCAACCCGGGAAGUGCACUCGAAACUGGGAGGCUAGAGUAUCGGAGCGAGUUGGUGGAAUUCUCGGUGUAGAGGUGAAAUUCGUAGAUAUCGAGAGGAACACCGGUGGCGAAGGCGGCCAACUGGACGAAUACUGACGCUGAGACUCGAAAGCGUGGGGAGCAAACAGG